UUUUUUACAGCGUCUUACUGGGAGUCGACGACCCGCCGCCUUUGAAAACCUCCCCAAAGAAGCGUGGGUUCCUGUUCAUCAAGUGCCUGGGGCCUGAGGGUCUCAGCAGCUCCUCCUGCAUGAGAGGUGGAAGUACCACCAAAAUCCUGCUGGAAACCCUGUUACUGGCAGCCCAUAAGACGGUGGAGCAGGGCAUUGCAGCAUCUCCAAGAUGCCUUCUGGAAAUCCUGCGGACAUUUGAGCGGGCUCAUAAGGUGACCUACAGUCAAAGCUCCAAGAUCACCCUGAUGAAGCAAGUCAGCACCAGGUACCCAGAGGUGCAGUGGGAGGGGGCGCCCAAGGGCAGAGGAGACUGAGAAGUUUAACAUUGGCGGGAACAAUGGGUCUCUGCACUGGCUUCUCUGUUGACCCCUGUGUUCUUCUGUAUGCAUCUCUGGCUUCUUUUUCAUGGUGACCUCUUAUGUCCUGACCUCUGACUGGUCCUCAGCCUGGAGAAGAGAGGCCGAGAGCACUUGGUUAGCUGGCAGAACCUGAGCCUCAUUGCCAUCAUGGAUGGGGUGGAGUGCAUCCAUACCUUUGGUGCUGGUGGGACCCCAGUCCACACAUUUUUCCUCACCCCACCUGACCCAGCCAACUAGUCUACUAUCCAAACCCUGCCAACUAUUGGAGAGACCUAAAUGUCGGUUCUGCCCUACUGAAUAGGCAUUUCAGUCACAUGCUUCUUCCUUUGGGUCCCAACUCCGUCCUCCAUCCAGCUAUGGUGUCUCACAUGGGUUACCCCUCACCUCACAUCCACUUUCUGUUUCCCUCCCAGCCCCACUGGCAGCCUCCAAAGCCUGGAACUUUCCUUUCCUACAAGGCCCAUCAUUCCCUUUCCCUGUCUUUAAACUUCCCAGAUUUCCGAGACAUCUGUGGCUUUCUCAUUGGGGAUCACAGUGACAUGUUUAACCAGAAGGAUGAGCUCACCAAUCAGGGUCCACAGUUCACCUUCUCCCAGGAAAACUUCCUGACUUCCAUCCUGCCCUCCCUCAUGGAAACUGACACUGUUAUCUUCAUUUUCACCCUGGAUGAUAACCUUGUGGAAGUGCAGACACUGGUGGAGCAGGUGAAAGAGAAGGCCAGCAAUAUCCAGGCCCUGGCGCACAGCACUGUGGGGCAGUCCCUGCCGGUGAGGGUCCAGCCUUGAAAGGGGCCUGGGUGGCAGUCACAGGCUGGCCUGCCUGCACAUGUCGCUCUGGGUCCUGUUUCUCUUCGGGCCCCUCUGAAGAAGCUCUUUCCCGCCACUGCUUUUCUUCGAGUACGAAGGGAACUUCGUCCAGGUAUGGAGGGUGAGAGAGUAAUAUUUGCAGUGAGGGGCUAAGAGUGGGGGAGACCUCAGAAAUUAGAAAACCCAAUGCUGGAGGGGAGAAAGCUUGAAGGUUUGUCUGCCCCCCACCAAGCCAGUAGAUUCUUGAGUUAGCGAGU
rnacentral:lncRNA from 1 species